rnacentral:rRNA from 1 species
AGAAUCAACGCUGGCGGCGUGCCUAACACAUGCAAGUCGCACGAGAAAGGGUAGCAAUACCUGAGUAAAGUGGCGCACGGGUGAGUAACACGUGAAUGAUCUACCUCCGAGUGGGGAAUAACUGAGAGAAAUCUUAGCUAAUACCGCAUAACACUUACGAGUCAAAGCAGCAAUGCGCUUGGAGAGGAGUUCGCGGCCGAUUAGUUAGUUGGCGGGGUAAUGGCCCACCAAGACGAUGAUCGGUAUCCGGCCUGAGAGGGCGCACGGACACACUGGAACUGAAACACGGUCCAGACUCCUACGGGAGGCAGCAGUGGGGAAUUUUGCGCAAUGGGGGAAACCCUGACGCAGCAACGCCGCGUGGAGGAUGAAAUAUCUUGGUAUGUAAACUCCUUUCGAUGGGGAAGAUUAUGACGGUACCAUAGAAGAAGCCCCGGCUAACUUCGCGCCAGCAGCCGC